CUUCACACUUGGAUAGCUCAGUUGGUUAAAGCAUGGCGCUGAUAAUGCCAAGGUUGCAGGUUUGAUCCCUGUAUGGAAGA